GUAGGUGGCAAGCGUUGUCCGGGAAUUAUUGGGGCGUAAAGCGCGCGCAGGCGGUUCUUUAAGUCUGAUGUGAAAGCCCACGGGCUCGACCGUGGAGGGUCAUUGGAAACUGGAGAACUUGAGUACAGAAGAGGAAAGCGGAAUUCCACGUGUAGCGGUGAAAUGCGUAGAGAUGUGGAGGAACACCAGUGGCGAAGGCGGCUUUCUGGUCUGCAACUGACGCUGAGGCGCGAAAGCGUGGGGAGCAAACAGGAUUAGAUACCCUGGUAGUCCACGCCGUAAACGAUGAGUGCUAAGUGCUAGGGGGUUUCCGCCCCUUAGUGCUGCAGCUAACGCAUUAAGCACUCCGCCUGGGGAGUACGGCCGCAAAGGCUG
rnacentral:rRNA from 1 species